GUGGGGAAUAUUGGACAAUGGGCGAAAGCCUGAUCCAGCCAUGCCGCGUGUGUGAAGAAGGUCUUCGGAUCGUAAAGCACUUUAAGUUGGGAGGAAGGGCAUUAACCUAAUACGUUAGUGUUUUGACGUUACCGACAGAAUAAGCACCGGCUAACUUCGUGCCAGCAGCCGCGGUAAUACGAAGGGUGCAAGCGUUAAUCGUAAUUACUGGGCGUAAAGCGCGCGUAGGUGGUUCGUUAAGUUGGAUGUGAAAGCCCCGGGCUCAACCUGGGAACUGCAUCCAAAACUUGCGAGCUAGAGUACGGUAGAGGGUGGUUGAAUUUCCUGUGUAGCGGUGAAAUGCGUAGAUAUAGGAAGGAACACCAGUGGCGCAGGCGACCACCUGGACUGAUACUGACACUGAGGUGCGAAAGCGUGGGGAGCAAACAGGAUUAGAUACCCGAGUAGUCC
rnacentral:rRNA from 1 species